UUUUUUUUUUUUUGGACAAAAAAUAUAACUGUCAUGCAACACGACAAAUCAAUCAUUUGAUAAAAGAAGUAUAGCAAAAAUUAUAUUAAAUAGACAGGUCAUGCAUGACAUUACGAAUAAACUAAAAUAAUCUAAAACCAACCAACACAACAAGCCUAUGUUAAUGUUACUAUCUUUUUUUUUUUUUUGAUAUGAGAACUAAUAAUUUUGUUAAUCUACUAAAGCAAAAAAUUUGAUGAUAAAUAUAAAACAAAAAUAUAUACUGUAUGUAGGCAUGUCAAUUAGGGCUAAACCCCGCGGGCUAGUUUGGUCCGGCCCUGAAAAA
rnacentral:lncRNA from 1 species